rnacentral:rRNA from 1 species
GAUGAACGCUGGCGGCGUGCUUAAUACAUGCAAGUCGAGCGAACAGACGCGGAGCUUGCUCCUCUGACGUUAGCCGCGGACGUGUGAGAAACGCGUGUAUCCCCUACCUAUAAGUCUGGGAUCGCUUGGGGAAACCGGAGCGAAUACCGUAUAAUAUAUUGAACCGCAUGGUUCAAUAGAGAAAUUCGGCUUUGGUGUCUCUUAUAGCUGGUUCCGGGCUGGCUUAGUUAGUUGGUAAGGUAACGGCCUAUCAAGGCUACGAUGCGUAGCCGACCUGACAGGCGGAUCGGCCACACUGGAACUGAGACACGGACCAGACUCCUACGGGAGGCAGCAGUAGGGAAUGUUCGGCAAUGGGCGAAAGCCUGACGCAGCAACGCCGCGUGAGUGAUGAAGGUCUUCGGAUCGUAAAACUCUGUUAGUAGGGAAGAACAGAUGUGUAAGUAACUAGGCAGUUAUUGACGGUACCUGAUCAAGAAGCAACGGCUAACUACGUG